rnacentral:tRNA from 1 species
GCCGGAGUGGUGGAAUGGCAGACGCGAUGGACUCAAAAUCCAUUAUGGGCGACCAUGUGUGGGUUCAAGUCCCACCUUCGGCACCA